UUUGAGAGAGAGAUAGAUAGCACGCUACCCGCUUCGUUUAUUUAAUUUAAAAAUAAAUUUAGUUAGAAAUAUGAAUCAACUAGAAUUCAAACUUGAGUCUCGGAUACCAACCACUAAACCCUUUGCCACUUGCUUUAGGGACGGUCGGUGAUUUUGAGUUGUCGUUGCAAGCAACUUUUGAUAAUAAAAGUUUGGUUUAACCCGGCAAAAGCUAAGCCAAACAGGUACUAUAUUAGUUGCAUAUGUAUGUUAGAGCAUUAGAAGAAGCUAAAAUGUUCACAUCUUAAUGAAUUCUCAUUAAUUAAGGUGGCAAAAUGUUGACCCCACCCUAAAACCCCAACCAUAAAAAGAUAUUUUAUUUGGAAUACUAAUAAUGUACCUUAUAUUUGGAUGCAUAAAUAUUUUAUUUUUAAUUCAUUUAAAAAUUUGUAGUAUCUGGUACGUAAGAAAUAUAAUCAAACGAUUUAGAAUUGAGUAAUAUAAUUUUAAUUUUUAGUCAAUUUUUGAAAUAAAAUAAAUCACUUUAUAGAUAAAAUAUAUUAUUUUAUCAAAUCAUUGAUGACGGACCUUUUAAUCAGUAAAACUCAAACUUUUAACCUCCCAUUACACACACACAAAAAAAUUAUGCGGAAUAAGUUAUAUAUUCAACGAUAACUUAUUCAACAUCUACAUAGGACCUAAGUAGGUUAAAACUCGAGCUACUCCAAAUCCAAAGUUACAUAAUUUUAGAGUUGGUUCAAAUCAAGAGUAAAACAAAAUUUCAAAUUAUUUAAACCACAAACGAUGAAAAACUCAGAAUGAUUCGAACUCGAAAUGACUCGAAACUAAAAACGAUUCGAGAGCAAACCCCCAUAAAUUGAACCUAAAAUAAUCUGAAAUUUCGGUGUAAUAAAUGGCUUGAAUUAAACAGGGGUGGAGCCCCAGCUCGGUUAGGUUCAAUGGACCUGAACAAUUUGGACUCGCGUGUUACCUCCUAGGGUAACAGGACAAGGACUACACCAAUGUGAGUUAAUAUCCUCAUAUAUAAUACUCUUUCUUUUUCUUUUUCUUUUUACUUUUUUGGAAAAGAUGUAACAUUUAAUAUUCUCAGUAAUAUUCUCAAAAAUAUAUAUAUUGUCAUAAAAAAUAUAGUUAAACGGACAAUGGACAUCUCUGUAAUAUUAAACAGAGACAUGUUGUGACUUAGCUUUAUAAAAAAUAAAAUUAUCACCAGCUGCUAAAAUAGUUGGUUAAAAUUGUUAUCCAAGGAGUCGCUGAUUUGAAUUAAGAAUACUUCAAAAAAAAUCUAAGAAUUAAAAAAAGUUGCCUACAUGUCUACUAAUUAAUAUAUAUAUAAAAAAAAAAGCUGCUUCAAAAGUUAUUGCUAUAUUUGACAAAAUUUUUUGAAUAUAAAUAGAAAAAAAAUGGUAUGUUUAUAACGCAAAGAGGGUUGUAGGAUUACAAGCUAGCUUAAUUCUUCCCCCCUAGGAUUUAAUAAACUCUUAUGAAUUUUAA
rnacentral:lncRNA from 1 species